UGUCCCUGCCUGUGCCAGCUCCUGUGUGGGCAGCUCUCGGGGUGUCCUGCCUUGCCACACUCCACUGAGCUGUUUGCAUUGCUGGGUGUGUUGUAGAGCCAUCUUGCUUGUAAAAUAUGAGUAUUUCUGGCUUAGGUGACGUUAGAGAAACUGUGAAAGCAGUGACUGCCUUGUGGUCCUGUGAGCCUUCAAGUUUUGGUUACAGCUUAUGAGUUCCCUCAGCUGACAGAUCAAGCUGCAUAUGGCACGCUUUCUGUGCAAGAGUCUCCUGCCUGUUCACAAUGUCCUGAAAAUAUCUUCUGCUGCCUUACCCUCGCCAACAUCAUUUUGCCACAGAUGAAUUGCAUAUUCUUUCCUUGACAGUGGUCUUGGAGGAGUCUGCCCCGGAGAAGAGGUCGGGAUGGGACAAGAGGAGUUAACUGUGGGGCAGGGCAUAGGAUACUCUCUGAAGCCAAGGUUUUGAUCAUUUGCCCCAUCACAGCUCCUGUCUCUCCCCUGAUGGCUCUGCUGUAUAUUGUUAUGUUUCCAUUUACCUGUAAGCUCACAAACCAGCCUUUCACCGGGAAAUGUGAAGAGAUGGAUUCUUCUGGUGUCUCCUCUGGCUUCUGCAAAGCCCCUGUGUCUAAUGCUGUUGUGAGAGCAGUGGGAUCAUAUGAAUUUUAUUCAGAAUUUUGGUAACAGGGAGGAUGGGGCCAUUUAAAUUUUAAGUGUUGGCUCCCUGCCUCAUGGGCCUAAGAACUAAUUACAGUGGGACUAAUUUUGGUUUAAACAGAUGCUCUUACAAAGUUGAGGGGUUUUGCUAUAUAUUUGAUAAGGGGAAAAAAUUCAAAUUUGAGUAAUUAGAUUAAAUAAACUCAAAGCAUAAUUAAUUCAAAGCACAAAUCUGAAGUUGAAACAAGUUCCUUUCCUCCCCAUCCCAACAAAGGAGAAUAUCUCGAUUUUUAGACUGGAAGGUCACUGGUGAGUGACAAAGGAGACUUUUGUUCUGCCCUUGGCCACACUUCUUGCUUGCAGGCUGCCCCUCCUCUGUCACCCUGCUUAAAAAGGGAGUGCAAUGAUACCGACCUACUUGGCAACGUGAUCUAUCUGUGAAAGAGCCAGGGCUGAGCUGGCUUUGCAAACUUCGAGCCUUUCACGUUGGUACCCUCCCUCGGCUCGGAAAACGCUACGUGCUAAAUUUGGGCAGCUUUUCGAGUUUGUGAUUCAUUCCCAGGGAAUUCCAGACUUCUUCAAGCUCUUCCCUUAUUUGUCGGUGUUUGCCGGCCGGUUUACUAAACAGGCUGCUCUGGGGCUGUUUGCCGCCCUUGACCCCACUUAUCUCUGAGUGGGGCUGAGUCACACCACGGAACCCGGCACGGCGAGGAGAUGGCGAGAGCCAGCGCGGCCCUGAGCGCGGCCCUGAGCGCGGCCCUGAGCGCGGCCCUGAGCGCGGCCCUGAGCGCGGCCCUGAGCGCGGCCCUGAGCGCGGCCCUGAGCGCGGCCCUGAGCGCGGCCCUGAGCGCGGCCCUGAGCGCGGCCCUGAGCGCGGCCCUGAGCGCGGCCCGCAGCUCGCCGUGCCCUCCCUGGGCUCUGCCGCCGUGGGACUCAGGCUGGCCGGGCAGACUCCAAACACUGCCCAGCCGUGGGACCUGUGGCUCGAUAAGAGCGGGACAAGGAGGAGCUGCUAUCUGCUGUGCACGCACGGCGCUCCCAGCGCAGACAGGGUACCCGGCACGUAAACCCGUGAGCUGAGCACCACACGCAGAAGGCAACCGUGAUAAAAAUACACUGAGAGCGUUCUGUUUAUGGUUCCUUCCAUGAUAAAAUCUGUGAACUUGUGGCAGCUCUUUCCUUAGUAAUUUGCCUUUCUCCUAUAGCUCCUAUUUUAAUAAUAUUUCUAAUCUACAAUCUGAAAAAAACCCACAGAAUUUUCAGAAUUUGCCUCGUUAUUUUAAAGCCUCCUGCAGGGAACAGAAGUGCAGUUGUAACCUGCUCAUGCUUUCUCAUAAACUGAUUUCAAACCUUGCACGUGAACACACUGUGAUUUCUACUGGUACCCAGAGUGACAUCUUCCAUGAAACUCCACAGCUGUCCCUUAAUGGGAGAUUAGUGCUUUAACAAGAUGUCUUUUUAUUAUUGUUGUUUGCUCACUAAUGAA